GUAGGUGAACCUGCGGAAGGAUCAUUACAGAGAAUUGCCCUUUGGGGUAGAUCUCCCACCCUUUGUUUAUAUUACCUUUGUUGCUUUGGCAGGCCUGUCUUUUGACUACUGGCUUAAGCUGGUCCGUGUCUGCCAGAGGACCCCCUAAACUCUUGAUUUUUGUAUUGUCUGAGUAAUAUUAUAAUAAGUUAAAACUUUCAACAACGGAUCUCUUGGUUCUG
rnacentral:misc_RNA from 1 species